rnacentral:rRNA from 1 species
GUGCCUAACACAUGCAAGUCGAGCGAGGAGAUCCUUCGGGAUGAUCCUAGCGGCGGACGGGUGAGUAACACGUGGGCAACCUGCCUCAUAGAGAGGAAUAGCCUUCCGAAAGGGAGAUUAAUACCUCAUAACAUUGCAGUUUCGCAUGGAACAGCAAUUAAAGGAGUAAUCCGCUAUGAGAUGGGCCCGCGGCGCAUUAGCUAGUUGGUGAGGUAACGGCUCACCAAGGCGACGAUGCGUAGCCGACCUGAGAGGGUGAUCGGCCACAUUGGGACUGAGACACGGCCCAGACUCCUACGGGAGGCAGCAGUGGGGAAUAUUGCACAAUGGGGGAAACCCUGAUGCAAGCAACGCCGCGUGAGUGAUGACGGCCUUCGGGUUGUAAAGCUCUGUCUUCAGGGACGAUAAUGACGGUACCUGAGGAGGAAGCCACGGCUAACUACGUGCCAGCCGCAGC